UUGAACUCAGGUCUUAAAGUUUGUGU
rnacentral:piRNA from 1 species